rnacentral:rRNA from 1 species
CCGCGAAAACUUUACAAUGCUGGCAACAGCGAUAAGGGAACCUCGAGUGCCAGGUUACAAAUCUGGCUGUCGAGAUGCCUAAAAAGCAUUUCAUAACAAGGGCCGGGCAAGACCGGUGCCAGCCGCCGCGGUAACACCGGCGGCUCGAGUGGUAACCGUUAUUAUUGGGUCUAAAGGGUCUGUAGCCGGCCGGAUAAGUCUCUUGAGAAAUCUGGCAGCUUAACUGUCAGGCUUUCAGGAGAUACUGUCUGGCUCGAGGCCGGGAGAGGUGAGAGGUACUUCAGGGGUAGGGGUGAAAUCUUGUAAUCCUUGAAGGACAACCAGUGGCGAAGGCGUCUCACCAGAACGGACCUGACGGCAAGGGACGAAAGCUAGGGGCACGAACCG